AGCGGAUUAAAACUUCGAUUUUAAUCAAAAUCUUUCGUACGUUAAGAACGAAACUUGAGAAAUUUAACUUGAAGGCGUAUUCUUAAAGUUGCGCAGCAAGAGUAAUACAAACUAAAGCAGUAAGAAGAUUUGCAGUAAUGUAAAUGACAAUAAUAAAAAGCAAACCAGAGAUUACGCCAAUUUUUAGAGUGGUUCGGUCAAAUGACCUACUCCACUUGCGAGGCCCCUCUUCGAUGAGGCUCCCACCUUCCACUAGCAAGUCUCUUGAAAUGGAAGGGUAAACACCCCUCUUACAACCUUUUACAAGCA
rnacentral:lncRNA from 1 species